AGUGAACGCUGGCGGUAGGCCUAACACAUGCAAGUCGAACGGCAGCACAGUAAGAGCUUGCUCUUACGGGUGGCGAGUGGCGGACGGGUGAGGAAUACAUCGGAAUCUACUUUUUCGUGGGGGAUAACGUAGGGAAACUUACGCUAAUACCGCAUACGACCUACGGGUGAAAGCAGGGGAUCUUCGGACCUUGCGCGAUUGAAUGAGCCGAUGUCGGAUUAGCUAGUUGGCGGGGUAAAGGCCCACCAAGGCGACGAUCCGUAGCUGGUCUGAGAGGGUGAUCAGCCACACUGGAACUGAGACACGGUCCAGACUCCUACGGGAGGCAGCAGUGGGGAAUAUUGGACAAAGGGCGCAAGCCUGAUCCAGCCAUACCGCGUGGGUGAAGAAGGCCUUCGGGUUGUAAAGCCCUUUUGUUGGGAAAGAAAAGCAGCAGGUUAAUACCCCGCUGUUCUGACGGUACCCAAAGAAUAAGCAUCGGCUAACUUCGUG
rnacentral:rRNA from 1 species